rnacentral:rRNA from 1 species
ACGAACGCUGGCGGCAUGCCUAACACAUGCAAGUCGAACGAGACCUUCGGGUCUAGUGGCGCACGGGUGCGUAACGCGUGGGAACCUGCCCUUAGGUUCGGAAUAACUCCCCGAAAGGGGUGCUAAUACCGGAUAAUGUCUUCGGACCAAAGAUUUAUCGCCUUUGGAUGGGCCCGCGUUGGAUUAGCUAGUUGGUAGGGUAAAAGCCUACCAAGGCGACGAUCCAUAGCUGGUCUGAGAGGAUGAUCAGCCACACUGGGACUGAGACACGGCCCAGACUCCUACGGGAGGCAGCAGUGGGGAAUAUUGGACAAUGGGAGAAAGCCUGAUCCAGCAAUGCCGCGUGAGUGAUGAAGGCCUUAGGGUUGUAAAGCUCUUUUACCCGGGAUGAUAAUGACAGUACCGGGAGAAUAAGCGCCGGCUAACUCCGUG